rnacentral:rRNA from 1 species
UACAGAGGGUGCAAGCGUUGCUCGGAUUUACUGGGCGUAAAGCGUACGCAGACGGCAAGGUAGGUCGGAUGUGAAAGCCCCGGGCUCAACCCGGGAAAUGCAUCCGAAACCCCCUUGCUCGAGUAUGAGAGAGAGAAGCGGAAUUCCUGGUGUAGAGGUGAAAUUCGUAGAUAUCAGGAGGAACACCAAUGGCGAAGGCAGCUUGCUGGGACGGUACUGACGCUGAGGCGCGAAAGCGUGGGGAGCAAACAGG